rnacentral:rRNA from 1 species
UACGAAGGAUGCAAGCGUUAUCCGGAUUCACUGGGUUUAAAGGGUGUGCAGGUGGGGUAAUAAGUCAGUGGUGAAAGCCCCCGACUCAAUCGGGGAACUGCCAUAGAUACUGUUAUUCUUGAGUGUGGUUGAGGCGGAUGGAAUAUGACAUGUAGCGGUGAAAUGCUUAGAUAUGUCAUAGAACACCGAUCGCGAAGGCAGUCCGCCAAACCAUUACUGACACUGAAACACGAAAGUGCGGGGAGCAAACAGG